rnacentral:rRNA from 1 species
UACAGAGGGUGCGAGCGUUAAUCGGAAUUACUGGGCGUAAAGCGCGCGUAGGCGGCUUUGCAAGUCGGGUGUGAAAUCCCCAGGCUUAACCUGGGAACUGCAUUCGAGACUGCAUUGCUAGAGUAUGGGAGAGGGAAGUGGAAUUUCCGGUGUAGCGGUGAAAUGCGUAGAUAUCGGAAGGAACAUCAGUGGCGAAAGCGACUUCCUGGACCAAUACUGACGCUCAUGUGCGAAAGCGUGGGGAGCAAUCAGG